rnacentral:lncRNA from 1 species
UGGCCAACUUUUGGGCCCAUUCUUUAUGGACCUUUGAUCCAUAUCUGCAGUUGUAUACCACAUGUAUACCAGCUGUAUUUCUCUGCGUUUUUCUAUAUAUAUGCUGUAUAUCAGCAUAUAUCCAUGCAUACAGGAUGAUUUUCUUUCAAAAAUGAUCCGUUUUGGGAUUUUAGCAUGGACCAAGUCUUGACUCAAAUAUACCGGGGCCUCCUUGAGCCGUCAUGGAGUAUGCAAGGGAUGAUUUGGAAGUUCACAUGCGGCAAAGCAAGGAAAAAAGAAUUAGAAACAACUAAAUACUUUAAGAAGAAUCUGAACUUGAUUUCAAACCAAACAUAUCAAGUAAUCCUUUGUUAGAACAUGCCCACAAUAAGAUAAGUGUUAUAAGCUCUGCUAUUUUUCUUGAACAACCUUGCCCUUUUAAUAUUCCCAGGAACAUAACAUGUCUGUGCUGGCAGCAAAGUCGAAUGAAAAAGAUUCAAACAAGAAUGCUCUAUGGCCUUUAAGAAAGAAAUGAAACAUUUAAAGCUAGUUUCUUAAACAUACAUGAAACAUUUCAACUCUAGAAAGAAAAUGAACAAAUGAGCCUUAAUUGGAUUUGAAAAUACUACUGGAAGGAGAAAGGAAAUCUUACAACUUAUUGCUUAUAUUCUAAUAAAUGGGUGGAUCUUAGACUAGUGAAUUCUAAAAAAAAUUGCACGCGUAUGACAUUACACGGAUGACAUUAGACUUAAGCCAAAGCGAUUCGAGUAAAUUCAACUUCACAGGAUAAACAAUCACAGUGAAAAUGACAAAAUGCCUACGCCCAGAUGAACGCCAAAUGAAUCUCUAGAUCCAACGAAUAUGAACUUGAAUCGACACACCCAACGCUUAUCAUCGAUCAACACACAACAUUACUUCAGUAAAUAAAUUUCAAAACUUUUAAUUUUGAAUUUUUACCAUGUUUAUAAUCAAAAGAAUAGGUAAACCAGAAAUACAAAAAGACUUCAUUUAGCAUUUGACCAACACAAAGCCAAAUGAUGAAUACAAAGUAAUAAAGAAAGAGAAAAAAAUUCUUCAAAGCUAAUAAAAUUUGGAACUUUUCGACAACAUAGUAAUAAAUUAAUUAAAAACACUCAAAAUCACAAGGCCUCACCCAGCAUUAUACACAUGUUCAAGCAAAACCAUAAAUGACACGUCAAAAAGUAUCACUUUUAAGAAAAAGUUAUCAAGAUGAAAUCUUCACACAAAUUCCAUUAUCAAACCAGCCUCACAACAACCACGGGAAUCAAAAUACUAAUAGAAUCUCAUGGUGUAACUUUCAAACACGAAGAAGAGAAAAUGUAAAAAGAGAGUUUUUACCUUUUUCGGGGUAGGAACCGGGACUAGAGUCUAUCACGAUGGAUUCCCACCACCAAAACUUGACCUGAACUUACCAGCGUUGAAUCGUUCUCGCGGGAAUUCAGACGAUUUCAAUGCAUUUAGACGAAUUUCACCGAGAACUUCUUGGUUACGUGAGAUCAGAGGAGCAGAGCGCUCUUCCAAAAUCCCCAAUUUUCCCCCAAAAAGUCCUCCCCCUUACCCUCAUCUCUCAACGUCUAUUUAUAGGGAAAAAAUUAGGGCUUCAAAUUUUAAAAAUAUGGACUUCAAUUCCAAAUUUUAGAACUAUUUUUUGAGAAAUUGAAGUCCAUAGUGAGACAAAAAAAGAGCUGUUGAGACUUAAUUAUUUGCCCGAAAUGGGAGAACAUGGACUAAAAAGGGGAAAAAUGGAUGACUUUGUAGCCAUUCUUGGCUGGACCCAUUGUUGACGCCGUUGUCGUUGGUGCCGUGAAGAUUGUACGCCGUUGCUGCUAUUGGAAUCCCGUUGAUGGGGAUUGUACGUUGUUGGUGGUGUUGUGUUAUUUGUUGUUGAUGGGUAAAGAGAAAAGGAUCAAGUGUUAGUCCGGAUAUAAGGGAAAGGAAUUGGGCCAGGCGGGUUGGUGGCUGGUGGGCUAUUGCUGAUCGUAUUGUUGUUGACGGCUGAUGGGGAAAAAGAGGGUAGUUGGGCUGAUUUUGUUGUUGGGUUAAGUAUUGUUGGUGGGCUGCUGAUCUGU